rnacentral:rRNA from 1 species
ACGUAGGGAGCGAGCGUUGUCCGGAGUUACUGGGCGUAAAGCGCACGCAGGCGGUCUUUCGCGUUCGUGCCGACAGCGACUCGCCUAACGAGUCGAGGAGUACGGAAACGGGGAGACUUGAGGGCCAGAGAGGGACACGGAACUCCGGGUGGAGUGGUGAAAUGCGUAGAGAUCCGGAAGAACACCAAAGGCGAAGGCAGUGUCCUGGUUGGUACCUGACGCUCAGAGGCGACAGCUAGGGGAGCGAACGGGAUUAGAUACCCCGGUAGUCCUAGCCGUAAACGAUGGCCACGAGAUGUCCGGGGGAUCGACCCUCUGGGUGUCGAAGCAAACGCAAUCAGUGGUCCGCCUGGGGAGUACGGUCGCAAGAUUA